rnacentral:sRNA from 1 species
AUUUGUUCCUAAGUGGCAAGAGUGCAA